rnacentral:lncRNA from 1 species
CAGCAAGUGCAUCCAAGAUUCCUCCUUUCCCUUGCUUGUGGCAUAUUGGUUUGUGGAUAGGUUUUGGGUAGUUCUAUGGUGCAUAAAGGUUUAUGGUGAGUGUAGAUGAGUGUUUGAUGGUGGAAGGGUGGUGGAGAACUUCGGCAAAGAGGGUGGAAGAAGGUGGAGUGGCUGUGAUAUUUUCUGGGCACUACAAUGGUGUUUUUGGGGUGUUUUGCUGCCUAGGGUGAGUAUGGACGAAUUUCUGUGAUGAAUGGUGAAUAUGAGAGUGUCAACCCUUUGCCAAGGGGUGUAAACAUGUAUAUAUAGGCCCCAAAAACCCUAGAGAAUCAGAUUG